rnacentral:rRNA from 1 species
AUGAACGCUAGCGACAGGCCUAACACAUGCAAGCGAGGGGCAGCACAAGGAGCAAUCUGAGGUGGCGACCGGCGCACGGGUGAGUAACACGUAUGCAACCUGCCUGUAAGCGGGGAAUAACCCGUUGAAAGACGGACUAAUACCGCAUAAUACUAAAUUACUGCAUGGUAAUUUAUUUAAACAUUUAUGGCUUACAGAUGGGCAUGCGCAUGAUUAGCUAGUUGGAGAGGUAACGGCUCCCCAAGGCAACGAUCAUUAGGGGUUCUGAGAGGAAGGUCCCCCACACUGGUACUGAGACACGGACCAGACUCCUACGGGAGGCAGCAGUGAGGAAUAUUGGUCAAUGGACGAGAGUCUGAACCAGCCAAGUCGCGUGCAGGAAGAAUGUUCCCUAUGGAUUGUAAACUGCUUUUGCAGGGGAAUAAAGUGCAUCACGUGUGAUGUUUUGUAUGUACUCUGCGAAUAAGGAUCGGCUAACUCCGUGCCAGCCGCAGC